UACGAAGGGGGCUAGCGUUGUUCGGAAUUACUGGGCGUAAAGCGAACGUAGGCGGUGUUCCAUGUCAGAGGUGAAAGCCUGGGGCUCAACUCCAGAAUUGCCUUUGAAACGGGGACGCUUGAGUCCGAGAGAGGGUGGCGGAAUUCUUAGUGUAGAGGUGAAAUUCGUAGAUAUUAGGAAGAACACCAGUGGCGAAGGCGGCCACCUGGCUCGGUACUGACGCUCAGGUUCGAAAGCGUGGGGAGCAAACAGG
rnacentral:rRNA from 1 species